CCUACGGGAGGCAGCAGUAGGGAAUAUUGCUCAAUGGGGGAAACCCUGAAGCAGCAACGCCGCGUGGAGGAUGAAGGUUUUCGGAUUGUAAACUCCUUUUGUUAGAGAAGAUAAUGACGGUAUCUAACGAAUAAGCACCGGCUAACUCCGUGCCAGCAGCCGCGGUAAUACGGAGGGUGCAAGCGUUACUCGGAAUCACUGGGCGUAAAGAGCGCGUCGGCGGGAUAGCAAGUCAGCUGUGAAAUCCUAUGGCUUAACCAUAGAACUGCAUUUGAAACUGUUAUUCUAGAGUGUGGGAGAGGUAGGUGGUAUUCUUGGUGUAGGGGUAAAAUCCGUCGAGAUCAAGAGGAAUACUCAUUGCGAAGGCGACCUGCUAGAACAUAACUGACGCUGAUGCGCGACAGCGUGGGGAGCAAACAGGAUUAGAUACCCUAGUAGUC
rnacentral:rRNA from 1 species